rnacentral:rRNA from 1 species
UACGUAGGGAGCAAGCGUUGUCCGGAAUCAUUGGGCGUAAAGAGCGCGUAGGCGGUCCGGUAAGUCGGUUGUGAAAACUGGGGGCUCAACCCUCAGAGGCCGACCGAUACUGCCGGGCUAGAGUCCGGAAGAGGCGAGUGGAAUUCCUGGUGUAGCGGUGAAAUGCGCAGAUAUCAGGAGGAACACCAGCGGCGAAGGCGGCGCUCUGGGCCGGAACUGACGCUGAGGAGCGAAAGCGUGGGUAGCAAACAGG